GUGUAUUGUUAGCGAGCUUUCAACAAUACACUGUGUAUUGUUGAAUACUUUCUAACAAUACACUGUGUAUUGUAGAAUUAGGCUCAUAUUUAUCGCUAAAAAUGGCGGUUCAAUGCCGCCACUUCGUUCACUUAAUGGCUUACAGGCUGUAUUUUCUCUAAGAAGAAGAAUUUUUAGUAACUAUCUACAUAUUAGAUGUGUUAUCAAUGUUACAAUUUCUGGUUUUGAUGGUCAAGCAUUUCUUAUUUUGGUGGCCAACGGCUGCGAUCUGUAUAUAUUGGACUACAUCGUGGCUUACGUUGGCGAUAGCUGAAAUUACUUGUUGUUUGUGUACUGUACAUAUUAUAUAAACUUCUCUUCACUUAGUUAAUUCACUUAAAAUGAAUAAAUGCAACGACUAUGUGUAUUGUUGUAGAACCUAACAAAAGACUAUUCCCUGAAAUAGUUUUUCUUAUUGACUUUGUCUUUGGUGCCAGUGGCACUGGUGCGAUAGAUAUCAUGUAAAAAUAUUUCGCAUUUGUUAAAAUUGUUUUAUCCGGAUGUUUAGGACCAAAAUAUUUUUAAUUAACGAUCUCGUCUUUGUUAUAGUAUCUAUAUAGCGUUACUUUAAGAAAUAUAGCGAUAUUACUUUAAUUAAACUUGAAAUUCAAAAAAGACCCAGGCAAUGCACAAAAGACUCGUUAGAUGGCAGUGGAAUUGGAGUCAAAAACCCGCAUGCAGUGAUCUGUACACAAAUCACUAUGCCAAAACAGUUCAUUCUGGCUACCAGGCAGCUAGACAGCGAAGGAUGGGAGCUUGGGCUGACCUCCGCCCAUCUCUGUUGUCAGCGUACAAGAGGGUGACUCGUGGGAAGCAAUGCAUCAUUUGUGGGGCUGAAGAUCCCCCAAUAAGAUGCACAGAUUGCAGCUAUUCGAGCAACUAUACUGCACUGGUUGCUUUGAAACGGCCCACUUGCAUCUAACGCUGCUUGUUGCAUGCUUAUUACUGGAAGAAUGGAAUGUUCACGCGAUAUGACACCAACAGGGUGGAAGUGUGGAAUUGAGAUGUGGACCACACCUGCACAUCAGGCUACCCCUAGGGUUGUUAAAGU